UAUCAAAAUUAAAAACAAGUUAGUUAUAAAAGUUCGCUACUGUACUAAGAUGUGAAAAACAUCAUCACGUAUACUUUUUUCUGCUACGUUUGCAUCUAUCAAGAUAAAACCAUCUUUCAGUUUUUCCCUGUACUACGCUCGUUUGCAUACACAUGAUUAAAGUGUAAUCUGUAUAAUAAAUAAAAACAGUCCAUGAAAUACAAAAUCAGUCUCGAAUGUUUGUAAACAAAAGUGUAUCGCACAAAUCUUCAUCGCACGUAUUGUGUAAACAAAAGUUAUAAAAUUAGCUUCUGCAUGACAUAAUACGAAACGAGAAAAGAAACAAACAACACUUUUAUAACUUCCUCAAAAGCAGUCUAAUCUGCGAUCUAAAAUAAAAAAGGCAAGACCUAAUGCAUUCAGCUAAGAGAUUCGAUACAAGUUAUGUUUGCUUUGUGUAAAAUCUAUUUUAGGAACGACGCACAGGCAGUCUCUUGAUUUCACAUUCGGCGCGGCAUAUCGAAAAUAGCCGGCCGUUGUUUAUGAAUACUUUUUGCGGAGAGCCCCUGCGCAAAAAUCUCUCUUUAUCCCCCGAAGCGCCAGCGGGCCACAACAUCUUUCUCAAUCGUCACCAGGCAAGGACGCUUACACAUCACGAGAAUCCGUAACGCGCACAGCUUCGCAGAGCAAGAGUUAGAGCACACACGCGGAGAGCUUCUUUUAAAUUUUAUAUUCUCUUUCUCUCUCUUUCUUGCGAGCAGUUAAUAAACGAGGAAUCGCCAAAAACGAGGAUAAGCAAAUACAUAAAGUCAAGAGCUUCCAUGCGUCAUGAUUUUCUGUUCCAGUGAUGAGGGUUAGGGUAUGCAGCACAGACUACCGUUCCAGAAUUAGUCGAUUAUAUCCAAAGUUCAGGGAUUCAGAGGCAUGCGACAAGCAAAAGAAUUCUAGAGAAAUGCAUGAUCGCUUUAUAUCAGCAAACAUUUUUGUCUAGUUUGCCAAGUAAAAGAGUAUACGAUUAAAAGACAUGAUUGAGCAUGAUUAUAUUGCCAUAUAAA